GAUAUUCCAUGAAGAGAACUGUUCCAAAUCCAACCAAAUUAUACUGCUGAUAUAAGGCUUUAACAAAUUAGUUUUUUGUUCAAUGUUUACUUUAUUAGAUUGCAACACAAUACUUUUUUCUUUUCAGAAAGAUGGUGGAGAAUAUUAAAUAUAUGAGUCUACAAUAUGCUAAGGAAGUCUCUCUGCUGAACUAAGAUCUAAUGAAUUUAUUGGAAGUUUAGAGAGCUACAUGUAUUAUGCCUGGAAUCAAAGGAUAACGCGAGUCCUAUUUCAGGUGGGUACGUAAGAUGAUAGCCAA